rnacentral:rRNA from 1 species
GGUUGAUCCUGCCGGAUCCGACUGCUAUUUGGGUGGGAAUAAGCCAUGCAAGUUGUAUGGAAUACCUAAAUUUUCCAUAGCACACUGCUUAGUAACACAUGAUCAACUUACCCUAUGGAGAAAAAUAACCUCGGGAAAGUAUCAUAUAGCGUAUGACACCCCGAAACUGAGGAUAAUGUUUCAUAGUUGAAAAGGCUUGGAAAAGUUUUUCGACGAAAGGGAUAAGAUGAAUGGAUCUUAUUUGCCAUAGGAUAGGAUCGUGGUCGAUUAUGGUAGUUGGUGAGGUAACGGCUCACCAAGCCGAUAAUCGAUAGGGGCCGUGAGAGCGGGAGCCCCAAGAUGGGUACUGAGACAACGACCCAGGCCUUACGAGGCGCAGCAGGCGCGAAACCUCCGCAAUACACGAAAGUGUGACGGGGCCACCCAAAGUGUUCUCUUCAGAACUGUAGUAGGUGAGUAAUAUCCCCUAUUAGAAAGGAGAGGGCAAGGCUGGUGCCAGCCGCCACGGUAAAACCAGCUCUUCAAGUGGUCGGGAUAAUUAUUUGGCUUAAAGUGUCCGUAGCCGGUUUAGCAAGUUCCUGGUGAAAUCGGGUAGCUUAACUAUUCGCAUGCUAGGGAUACUGCUAUACUAGAGGGCGGGAGAAGUCUGAGGUACUACAGGGGUAGGGGUGAAAUCUUAUAAUCCCUGUAGGACCACCAGUGGCGAAGGCGUCAGACUGGAACGCGCCUGACGGUGAGGGACGAAAGCCAGGGGAGCGAACCGGAUUAGAUACCCGGGUAGUCCUGGCCGUAAACGAUGCAUACUAGGUGAUGGCACGGCCAUGAGCCGUGUCAGUGCCGUAGGGAAACCGUUAAGUGUGCCGCCUGGGAAGUACGGUCGCAAGGCUGAAACUUGAAGGAAUUGGCGGGGGAGCACCACAAGGGGUGAAGCCUGCGGUUCAAUUGGAKUCAACGCCGGR